rnacentral:lncRNA from 1 species
GUAGUGUUUUUUUUCCUUCCUUCACUUUCAGUCCUCAUUUUUACUGCAGUAUUGUUUUAUGCAAGGCUCAGCAGGCUUUAAAAGCAGGCUGAUGGAGUCAGGUUUCAUAGUAAGCCCUUUUUGGGAGAAAUGAAUUAUUGCAGGCCUAAGAGCUAUGCGGCUGCUGAAAGACUACCAACCGAUGAUGGUCCCUCCCUCCAGAUGAGUGAUAUCAAAAACAUGCUUACAAAGUGA